UACGGAGGGUGCGAGCGUUGUCCGGAAUUACUGGGCGUAAAGCGUGCGCAGGCGGUUCGUUGUGUCGGCGGUGAAAGCCCCGGGCUCAACCUGGGAAUGGCCGUUGAAACUGGCGAACUGGAGUGUGGCAGAGGGGGGUGGAAUUCCGCGUGUAGCAGUGAAAUGCGUAGAGAUGCGGAGGAACACCGAUGGCGAAGGCAGCCCCCUGGGCUGACACUGACGCUCAGGCACGAAAGCGUGGGGAGCAAACAGG
rnacentral:rRNA from 1 species